UACGUAGGGUGCGAGCGUUGUCCGGAAUUAUUGGGCGUAAAGAGCUUGUAGGCGGUCUGUCGCGUCUGCUGUGAAAAUCCGGGGCUCAACCCCGGACUUGCAGUGGGUACGGGCAGACUAGAGUGUGGUAGGGGAGACGUGGAAUUCCUGGUGUAGCGGUGAAAUGCGCAGAUAUCAGGAGGAACACCGAUGGCGAAGGCAGGUCUCUGGGCCGAUACUGACGUGAGGAGCGAAAGCGUGGGGAGCAAACAGG
rnacentral:rRNA from 1 species